rnacentral:rRNA from 1 species
GAGGGAUCAUUACACAAAUAUGAAGGCGGGCUGGAACCUCUCGGGGUUACAGCCUUGCUGAAUUAUUCACCCUUGUCUUUUGCGUACUUCUUGUUUCCUUGGUGGGUUCGCCCACCACUAGGACAAACAUAAACCUUUUGUAAUUGCAAUCAGCGUCAGUAACAAAUUAAUAAUUACAACUUUCAACAACGGAUCUCUUGGUUCUGGCAUCGAUGAAGAACGCAGCGAAAUGCGAUAAGUAGUGUGAAUUGCAGAAUUCAGUGAAUCAUCGAAUCUUUGAACGCGCAUUGCGCCCUUUGGUAUUCCAAAGGGCAUGCCUGUUCGAGCGUCAUUUGUACCCUCAAGCUUUGCUUGGUGUUGGGCGUCUUGUCUCUAGCUUUGCUGGAGACUCGCCUUAAAGUAAUUGGCAGCCGGCCUACUGGUUUCGGAGCGCAGCACAAGUCGCACUCUCUAUCAGCAAAGGUCUAGCAUCCAUUAAGCCUUUUUUUCAACUUUUGACCUCGGAUCAGGUAGGGAUACCCGCUGAACUUAAGCAUAUCAAUAAGCGGAGGAAAAGAAACCAACAGGGAUUGCCCCAGUAACA